GGACGACUUGCGCUUUAGAAAAAUUUUUAAUCUGGGAAUAACAAAGGAUAUUUUUGGAAAGAAGUUAUCAAAAUUAGAAAAACUGUAAAGUUUGGUUGCGAAAUGUUGUAAAAUACGGAAAAUAUAGCCCUGCGAAGUUGGGAAAUUUGUAUACAUUUCUACUACGUGCGGAAAUUGGUAACUAAUUUAGUUACCAAUUCACGCACGUAAUACAAAAGUAUACAAAUUUGCCAACUUUGAAGGGCUAUAUUU